rnacentral:rRNA from 1 species
CGGCACGGGUGCGUAACGCUGGGAAUCUGCCCUUGGGUUCGGAAUAACAGUGAGAAAUUACUGCUAAUACCGAAUGAUGACGUAAGUCCAAAGAUUUAUCGCCCAGGGAUGAGCCCGCGUAGGAUUAGCUAGUUGGUGAGGUAAAAGCUCACCAAGGCGACGAUCCUUAGCUGGUCUGAGAGGAUGAUCAGCCACACUGGGACUGAGACACGGCCCAG